rnacentral:misc_RNA from 1 species
UCUUCCUUUAGAUGCUCUAAG